GGGCACAAUCAGCAUUUCCCUGACACGCCUUUCGCAAGGCCAUGAUCCUGGGAACGGACAACAGAGCUUAGUACUGGAGCUCAAUACAAGAUACAGUGGUCAAUUCGAGACCCUCAAGGAGGAUAACAGACAGUUUGGCUUUGUUUAAGGAGAUUACCCUACAAUGGAUGGCAUAGAAAAAGGAAUAUCAGAGAUAUGAGGUUCAGCCAUGACGUCACUACGUACCACUCCCUCUCCUCAACGCUGUUCGUGGCCUGUAUGUACAUCGGUCUGUCGGGCUGCAACACCUGAAACAUCUGAAAACACCCCACGCAUCGUCACGCAACACCUCAAAAACAUCUAAAAACAGUUCCUCCACUACUCUUUGAAUGAAUAUUAAAUGAGUCCUCACAU